rnacentral:rRNA from 1 species
GACGAACGCUGGCGGCGUGCUUAACACAUGCAAGUCGAACGGAAAGGCCCUGCUUUUGUGGGGUGCUCGAGUGGCGAACGGGUGAGUAACACGUGAGUAACCUGCCCUUUACUUUGGGAUAACUUCAGGAAACUGGGGCUAAUACCGGAUAGGAGCUCCUGCUGCAUGGUGGUGGUUGGAAAGUUUCGGCGGUUGGGGAUGGACUCGCGGCUUAUCAGCUUGUUGGUGGGGUAGUGGCUUACCAAGGCUUUGACGGGUAGCCGGCCUGAGAGGGUGACCGGCCACAUUGGGACUGAGAUACGGCCCAGACUCCUACGGGAGGCAGCAGUGGGGAAUAUUGCACAAUGGGCGGAAGCCUGAUGCAGCAACGCCGCGUGCGGGAUGACGGCCUUCGGGUUGUAACCCGCUUUCGCCUGUGACGAAGCGUGAGUGACGGUAAUGGGUAAAGAAGCACCGGCUAACUACGUG